GCGGAAUUAGCUCAGUUGG
rnacentral:misc_RNA from 1 species